rnacentral:rRNA from 1 species
UACAGAGGGCCCAAGCGUUGUUCGGAUUCACUGGGCGUAAAGGGUGCGUAGGUGGUUAGGUAAGUCCGAUGUGAAAUCUCCAGGCUCAACCUGGAAAUGGCAUUGGAUACUAUUUAGCUUGAGGAGUGGAGGGGGGACUGGAAUUCUCGGUGUAGCAGUGAAAUGCGUAGAUAUCGAGAGGAACACCAGUGGCGAAGGCGAGUCCCUGGACACUUCCUGACACUGAGGCACGAAAGCUAGGGGAGCAAACAGG